rnacentral:rRNA from 1 species
CCUACGGGGGGCAGCAGUGAGGAAUAUUGCGCAAUGGGGGAAACCCUGACGCAGCGACGCCGCGUGGAUGAUGAAGGCCUUCGGGUCGUAAAAUCCUUUCAGAAGGGACGAAAUCAAAAGGGAAAAUAUUCCUUUUGGAUGACGGUACCUUCAGAAGAAGCCCCGGCUAACUACGUGCCAGCAGCCGCGGUAAUACGUAUGGGGCGAGCGUUGUUCGGAAUUAUUGGGCGUAAAGGGUAUGUAGGCGGUUUGAUAAGUCAGGCGUGAAAGUCCAUGGCUUAACCUUGGAAAGCCGUUUGAAACUGUCAAACUUGAGUCCAGGAGAGGAGAGCGGAAUUCCCGGUGUAGCGGUGAAAUGUGUAGAUAUCGGGAAGAACAUCAGUGGCGAAGGCGGCUCUCUGGACUGGAACUGACGCUGAGGCGCGAAAGCGUGGGGAGCAAACAGGAUUAGAUACCCCGGUAGUC